UAUUGAUUGCACAUGAAGUCUGAGGAAAA
rnacentral:piRNA from 1 species